rnacentral:rRNA from 1 species
UACGUAGGGGGCAAGCGUUGUCCGGAAUCAUUGGGCGUAAAGCGCGUGUAGGCGGCUCGGUAAGUCUGCUGUGAAAGCCCAGGGCUCAACCCUGGGAUGCCGGUGGAUACUGUCGAGCUCGAGUCCGGAAGAGGCGAGUGGAAUUCCUGGUGUAGCGGUGAAAUGCGCAGAUAUCAGGAGGAACACCAAUGGCGAAGGCAGCUCGCUGGGACGUGACUGACGCUGAGACGCGAAAGCGUGGGGAGCGAACAGG